CACCUCCUCUUGCUUUUCGCGCGCGCUUUCUUUUUUUUUUUCGCACGGAUGCCUGAGUGACGUCAGCAGCUUUCGAAGCGACAGAAACGGGACGUAAGUACCUUCGAGUUGUCACGUAUUUCAUCGUCAUCCUUCGUUCCUUUGAAAAAGAAACGAACGCUGCGAGUAAUUUGAAGAGAUCCUCGAUAUGUGUUUCGCACAUGAGUGUCGAGGAUUUUAAGAAUGUCGAUCAUCGAAGAUUACUACGUCGGACAGUACGUGAGUCGAGUUACGAGAUUUCAAGCGUCUCGAAGGGCUCUUUCGGGGAUUCAAACGUCCAGGCUCCUCCUCGAUCGUUUUUCGUCGUUUCGAGCGCACCGUUAUCUUGCCGAAAUGAAUCGGUACGUACGUACAUAUACACGUGUGUAUCUUUUUUUUACAAUGAUCUUUGUCAGAAACGGCGACGGGAGAGACGAAACGAGAGUGUUGGUAAUACACACGCGCGGGAUGAUGUUUUUCAACUUGUGGUGGCGUGCAGAUCGCACCUUCGUCACGUGUCAUUUGGUCCACUCUACGUCCGUUAGCUUGGAAUUUCUUUGCAGCCUCGAAAACAGUAUGUUCACGCUUCGCUUUGUGAAAAGGAAUUUACAAAGCGACGUUGUACCGCCUCGAUGGGAUCAGCUGAGAACGUGAUGAUUUUAAUCGAAGACGGCGGCUGCACACGUUCAGGAUUUUGAACCCAGCUGAACAAGCUCGAACCUGUCGCUUCCGAAUGAAAUUGCGGAAUUACAAAAAGGUAGAACAUAAUGUGUAAUAAGACUCCGAUACACGUAGGGAUGAGAGACGAGCUAGCUAUCGGUGGGAAAUGGGCGCAGAUUAUAUGGAACAAGGCUAUCGACAUUGUGAUUACGCGGAGUCGAGAACAAUUAAUUUAUCACGUGAAAGAUGAUUUGACAUUCCACGACAUCGUCCUUUUUCUGCGAGGAUUGAGGCUUCGACGAUUAUUUGUUCCUUUUUCCUCUCUCUAUUGGAUACUUUCUCGUUAACCCUCAAUUUUCGUGGAUGAAAAGAGAGAGAGAGAGAGAGAGAGUGACGACAUUUUAAGAAAUAGAUACUACGUUUAAAAUACGAGAGAAAAAUCGUGCAGAAAUAAGGACUUCUAUUGUAUUUGAGAAUAUGGAAACUCAAAAGAUGAUCAAUAUUAUGAAUAGAUUGCAAAUUUUUGUAUUAUCACAUAAAGAAUAUACAAAACGUAUCCAAUAUUUUUAUAAUACAUAUUAGAUUACAGUCAUAACUCGUCUAUUGAAUGGAAUUAGACGAGGAAAUGUGAUGUAUGUAUGCAUGUGAAACUUGGUUCGAGCGCGAAAGUUAGCUCAAAAAGGCGAUAUUUAAUUAUUAACGGGUUUUCGAGGGAAUUCAUAAAAUCUCCUCGCGGCGAUUUACGAGCUCUUGUUUCGGUUUGAUUUUCAUCCGGUAUGAAUUUUCGCGUAACUCGCGAAGCUCCUAAUUAGCCUUCAACGAACAACGGUAGAUAACUGCGGUGAGUAAUUGUUGAUAAUUCUGUUUUGAUCUCGACGAGCAAUUUCAAUUAUAGGUAGAUUGUAUUUAUGUAUAUGAUUCAGGUUUGAAUCGGGCUUGAAUCUUACUCAAAUGAAAUUUAAAAUUUAAAUAGAUCUCUGUUGCAAAUUGCAGAUCUUUUUUUUUUUUUUUGCUUAAUAUAAAAUCCUAAAAUUAUAAAAGAAACGUUUAUAACUUAAUGUUUUUCUAAUGUUUAUUAGAAUAAUUUAAUAUUUAUUCUAAAUUAUUAUACAACAGGGUCUUGCUAGGUGCUAGGUUCAUCAGCAAGGUUUAUUAAGUGAAAUUCACUGAUUUUUAAAAAAUGAAAAUUAACGCGCACUUUAUUAGUUUAUUAGUAACAUAUUUGCAUGGAAAUGAUACUAUUUAAAAUAAAUCUCGAGUUUCAAGGGAUAAUUAAGAGAAUUUUGUCUUCGUUUUGACAUUUGAAUAUUUUAUAGAAUAUUUUGUAGCAUUAACAUUAAUAUUAGCUAUAAUACCAAGUUUUGUAAGAUGAAAAUUAAAACAACAGAAAAGACCACUAUAUUCAAGGACACAUAUUCAACUUCAAACGAAUUUAACUGUUCUCCACCAAACCAAUCAAGAUUACUGAUAAACUACUAAAAAUCAUACAAAUAUCUUUGACGAAAUUAGACGUUUUGUUUUAUUAAUUAACAGCAGAAACAUUCAUUUAAUUUUCAAUGAAUCACUUGCAAUGUAUCUAUGUACAUGUUACCUAAUGUGUACAGUGUUGCUAUUAAACGUAAUUGCAUGCAUCUCUUUACUUUCUAAUUAAGCAUGCGUAACAUAUUCGGAUCAUAAUAAUCCGCAAUGUUGGCGCUAAAAAUAAUUCGCCGUGAUUGCAUGUUUAAUGAGAAGUCGUUGCUCUGCUUGAUGAUUCGCGAUAAAUUCGUGGAAAAUUGAUCGAGCAUAUUCGAAACCUUCGUUCAGACGGUUCACAGACAAGGACGACCCGUGUUGUGGUCCAUCAUUCUCGUCUCUCUGUUCGCUCGUGCGUCCCUAAUUAUCCAAUUUUACGCUACCGGCCUCCCAGUACGGUAAAUAUUCUCGGUGGCACCACACAUCAAACUCCAGAGUGGCAGGCUAGAAAUCUUUAUACCCUGAUUCGUUUGGUGCUCGAGCAAAUGCGAAGCACGUGUUGCAACCGAUCUUUCCCGCGACCAUUAUUGGCAAUUGUGUUGGAAACGAUCGUGUUACAGUGAAGAGUAUAAUUGAACUGGUAACCACAGGUCCUUGUACAGAUCCUACCGUUAAUAUUAAA